rnacentral:rRNA from 1 species
AGCGAACGCUGGCGGUAUGCUUAACACAUGCAAGUCGAGCGAGAAAAUGGCUUCGGCCAUGAGUACAGCGGCGGACGGGUGAGUAAUACAUGGAUAAUCUGCCUUUAGGACCGGGACAACCCAGGGAAACUUGAGCUAAUACCGGAUAAGACCACAGAAUCUCCGGAUUCAGUGGUAAAAGGUGGCUUCGGCUAUCACCUAUAGAUGAGUCCAUGUCCCAUCAGGUAGUUGGUGAGGUAACGGCCCACCAAGCCGAAGACGGGUAGCCGACCUUAGCGGGUGAUCGGCCACACGGGGACUGAGACACGGCCCCGACUCCUACGGGAGGCAGCAGUGGGGAAUAUUGGACAAUGGGCGCAAGCCUGAUCCAGCAAUACCGCGUGAGGGAUGAAGGCCUUCGGGUCGUAAACCUCUGUCAGUUGGAACGAUGGGUCUGUAGGUUAAUACCCUGCAGACUUGACGGUACCUUCAAAGGAAGCCCCGGCUAACUCCGUG